AUGCAUCACGGCAGCACUUCAGCUCCUCUUGUGGAUUCUCACCAGAUUAGGCCACCUCACUCACCUUCAGUUGUCAGGACCUCACCGGCAGAUCCCUCAGCUAUCAGGGAAAGCAGUCAUCAGCGGAGAUUGAGGGUGCCUCUCCGGCAAGAGUGCUCGUGUCGUGGUGGUUUCCCACCAGCAGCAUGGGGGAGACGGUGUCCUCUGCAGCUAGGUCUACUUGCUGGCGACCUCACCGUCACCAGCCCAUCUGCAGGGAUGGACAUAUGGAUUGAUUGGUUGGCCCCUGAAAGCUACACAGAUCUGAACCAAUAA
rnacentral:rRNA from 1 species